CCUACGGGAGGCAGCAGUGAGGAAUAUUGGUCAAUGGACGCAAGUCUGAACCAGCCAUGCCGCGUGCAGGAAGACGGCCCUACGGGUUGUAAACUGCUUUUAUACGGGAAUAACGCGCCUUACGUGUAGCUCUUUGCAUGUACCGUAUGAAUAAGGACCGGCUAAUUCCGUGCCAGCAGCCGCGGUAAUACGGAAGGUCCGGGCGUUAUCCGGAUUUAUUGGGUUUAAAGGGAGCGUAGGCGGUAUGUUAAGCGUGCUGUGAAAUGUCCGGGCUCAACCCGGGCCUUGCAGCGCGAACUGGCGUGCUUGAGUCGGCGGAAGGCAGGCGGAAUUCGUCGUGUAGCGGUGAAAUGCUUAGAUAUGACGAAGAACCCCGAUUGCGAAGGCAGCUUGCUGCAGCGGAACUGACGCUGAUGCUCGAAAGCGCGGGUAUCGAACAGGAUUAGAUACCCGAGUAGUC
rnacentral:rRNA from 1 species